rnacentral:lncRNA from 1 species
AAUAAUGCUGCAAUGAACAUGAGAGUACAGAUAUCUCUGCAAGAUUUUUAUUCCAAUUCCUUUGGAUAAAUACUCAGAACUGGGAUUGCUAGAUCAUAUGGUAGCUCUACUUUUAAUUUUUUCAGGAAUCUCCAAAUGUUUUCCAUAAUGUCUAUAGCAAUUUGCAGUCCUACCCUCAGUGUAUAAGGAUUCCCUUUCUCCAUAUCCUGAACAACAUUUAGCUUUUAAAAAAAAUAAUUAAAGCCAUCAUAGUGGAGUGAGGUGAUAUCUCAUGAUAGCCUUAAUUUGCAUUUCUCUGAUGAUUAGGUAUGUUGAGCACCUUUGUAUAUACUUGUUGGUCAUCUGUAGAUCUUCUCUGGAAAUGUCUGUUGAGGUCCCUAGCCCAUUUUAUUUUAUUUUAUUUUUGGCAUUGUCCAAAAUAUUGUUUUAUUCUUUAAUGGAAAAAAGCUAUUAAUAUUCAAAUGAAAAGGGUCACAUUAAAAAACCUGUAUGUAAGAAACAGCCUCCAAGAACAUCCAAGCAGCAAAUCAGAGGGAGGGAAAAACGCUUCAACAGCCCAUCCGUUUUCUUCAAAAUAUUACUUGACAGGAUACAACUCAUUUCACUGGCUACGACAAUUCAUAGAAUUUUUCAUUGUUUUCUUGAGACGCAAAAGUUCACUGCUGCAGUGUUUUCAAAUGACCAGUCAAGGGUUAACUUCUCGGUUGAAGUUUGAGGGAGUUAAUUCAAUUACAUCAUCACUAGACGAAUACAGACCAUUAACUGUUAUAAAGAGGGUACAGCUCAUCAGACCAAGCACCAGGCGAGCCAUGCUGAGCGCCCGCGCCGCCACACACUCCAGCCGCCGCCUCACCCCCUAGCCCAUUUUAAAAUCUGGUUUUUUGUUAAGGAGUUGCAGAAGUUUGUUAUACAUUUUGAAUGAUACAUGAUUGGCAAAUAUUUUCUCCCAUUGUGUGUGUUGCCUUUUCAUGUUGUUGAUGGCUUCCUUUGCUCUGCAGUAGCAUUUUAGUUUCAUGUAAUCCCACUUGUUUACUUUUGCU